rnacentral:rRNA from 1 species
CGGCAGCGCGGAGAGCUUGCUCUCUGGCGGCGAGUGGCGAACGGGUGAGUAAUACAUCGGAACGUGCCCUGUAGUGGGGGAUAGCUCGGCGAAAGCCGGAUUAAUACCGCAUAAGCUCUACGGAGGAAAGCGGGGGACCGCAAGGCCUCGUGCUAUAGGAGCGGCCGAUGGCAGAUUAGCUAGUUGGUGAGGUAAAGGCUCACCAAGGCGACGAUCUGUAGCUGGUCUGAGAGGACGACCAGCCACACUGGGACUGAGACACGGCCCAGACUCCUACGGGAGGCAGCAGUGGGGAAUUUUGGACAAUGGGCGAAAGCCUGAUCCAGCAAUGCCGCGUGUGUGAAGAAGGCCUUCGGGUUGUAAAGCACUUUUGUCCGGGAAGAAAGUAUUCGUGCUAAUACCAUGGAUAGAUGACGGUACCGGAAGAAUAAGCACCGGCUAACUACGUGCCAGCAGCCGCGGUAAUACGUAGGGUGCGAGCGUUAAUCGGAAUUACUGGGCGUAAAGCGUGCGCAGGCGGUUUUGUAAGACAGAUGUGAAAUCCCCGGGCUUAACCUGGGAACUGCAUUUGUGACUGCAAGGCUAGAGUAUGGCAGAGGGGGGUAGAAUUCCACGUGUAGCGAAAUGCGUAGAGAUGUGGAGGAAUACCGAUGGCGAAGGCAGCCCCCUGGGCCAAUACUGCUCAUGCACGAAAGCGUGGGAGCAAACAGGAUUAAUACCCUGGAGUCCACGCCCUAAACGAUGUCAACUAGUUGUUGGGGUCAUUUCCUUAGUAACGUAGCUAACGCGUGAAGUUGACCG